AUGUGUGAUUGUUCAACAACCACAACCUCUGCACCUCACUGUCAACCACAUGCAAGCUUCCUCCUUGCUUUAGGUGAGAGCAUUGAUUUCAUCGCCUUUUUAGCUUGCUCAGGUUGCAAGUUUGAUAGGUUUCCUCAACCCAGGUUUGGAACCCCUUUGAUUUUGGUUCCUUGCUACAACUCUGUACAUAAUUUUGUUUCUUUGUCACAAUUUAAUCGAUCCAUUUUUAGCUACAAAUGCUUAUCUACUACCCCUGUAAAAGGAAGAGAGGGGGCAGAUCCAAAUAACCAGAAUCGUUUAUCUAGCCGAUCCAAGGGUCUAAAACAUCUCUGUGUUUAA
rnacentral:rRNA from 1 species